GAUGAACGCUGGCGGCGUGCCUAAUACAUGCAAGUCGAUCUAACAGACGAGGAGCUUGCUCCUCUGUCGUUUGCUUCUGACGGGUGAGUAACAUGUGGAUCACCCACCUAUAAUACUUUGUUAACUUCGAGAAUCCGGAGCUAAUACCGGUUAAUAUAUUGAACCGUAUUGUUCAAUAUUUAAAGACGGUUUUUCUGUCACUUAUAGUUGUUUCCUCGCUGCUUUAUCAUGUUGGUAAUUUAACGGCAUACCAAGGCAACGAUGCGUAGCCAACCUGAGAGGAGGAUCGGCGAAACUGGAACUAAGACAAGGUCCAGACUCAUACGGGAGGAAGCAGUAGGGAAUAUUAAGCAAUGGGCGAAAGCUUGACGGAACAAAGCCGCGUGAGUGAGGAAGGUCUGCGGAUCGUAAAACUCUGUUAAUAGGGAAGAACAAAUGUGGAAGUAAAUAGACAGGUAUUGACGGUAACUGAUCAGAAAGACACGGCUAAAUACGUG
rnacentral:rRNA from 1 species